rnacentral:misc_RNA from 1 species
AACCCCCAGCUAGGCUGGGGGUUCCGUAAAGCUUACAGCUAUAAGUCAGUUAUAUAACCCCUUUCAAUUUGAUAAAAACGUCUUGUGGUCUGG